rnacentral:rRNA from 1 species
UCCCAAGGGUAUGGCUGUUCGCCAUUUAAAGUGGUACGCGAGCUGGGUUUAGAACGUCGUGAGACAGUUUGGUCCCUAUCUGCCGUGGGCGCUGGAGACUUGAGAGGAGCUUCUCCUAGUACGAGAGGACCGGAGUGGACGUACCUCUGGUGUUCCGGUUGUCACGCCAGUGGCAUUGCCGGGUAGCUAUGUACGGACGGGAUAACCGCUGAAAGCAUCUAAGCGGGAAGCCCACCUCAAGAUUAGGUCUCCCUGGACAUUUAUGUCCCUGAAGGGCCGUUGAAGACUACAACGUUGAUAGGCCAGGUGUGGAAGCGCGGUAACGUGUGGAGCUAACUGGUACUAAUUACCCGUGAGACUUGACCAUAUAACACCCAAG